rnacentral:rRNA from 1 species
GGUUAAGCGACCAAGCGUACACGGUGGAUGCCCUGGCAGUCAGAGGCGAUGAAGGACGUGCUAAUCUGCGAUAAGCGCCGGUAAGGUGAUAUGAACCGUUAUAACCGGCGAUUUCCGAAUGGGGAAACCCAGUGUGAUUCGUCACACUAUCAUUAACUGAAUCCAUAGGUUAAUGAGGCGAACCGGGGGAACUGAAACAUCUAAGUACCCCGAGGAAAAGAAAUCAACCGAGAUUCCCCCAGUAGCGGCGAGCGAACGGGGAGGAGCCCAGAGCCUGAAUCAGCAUGUGUGUUAGUGGAAGCGUCUGGAAAGGCGCGCGAUACAGGGUGACAGCCCCGUACACAAAAGCGCAUGUGCUGUGAGCUCGAUGAGUAGGGCGGGACACGUGGUAUCCUGUCUGAAUAUGGGGGGACCAUCCUCCAAGGCUAAAUACUCCUGACUGACCGAUAGUGAACCAGUACCGUGAGGGAAAGGCGAAAAGAACCCCGGCGAGGGGAGUGAAACAGAACCUGAAACCGUGUACGUACAAGCAGUGGGAGCACAGGUUUACCUGUGUGACUGCGUACCUUUUGUAUAAUGGGUCAGCGACUUAUAUUCUGUAGCAAGGUUAACCGCAUAGGGGAGCCGAAGGGAAACCGAGUCUUAACCGGGCGUUAAGUUGCAGGGUAUAGACCCGAAACCCGGUGAUCUAGCCAUGGGCAGGUUGAAGGUUGGGUAACACUAACUGGAGGACCGAACCGACUAAUGUUGAAAAAUUAGCGGAUGACCUGUGGCUGGGGGUGAAAGGCCAAUCAAACCGGGAGAUAGCUGGUUCUCCCCGAAAGCUAUUUAGGUAGCGCCUCGUGAACUCAUCUCCGGGGGUAGAGCACUGUUUCGGCUAGGGGGCCAUCCCGGCUUACCAACCCGAUGCAAACUGCGAAUACCGGAGAAUGUUAUCACGGGAGACACACGGCGGGUGCUAACGUCCGUCGUGAAGAGGGAAACAACCCAGACCGCCAGCUAAGGUCCCAAAGUCAUGGUUAAGUGGGAAACGAUGUGGGAAGGCCCAGACAGCCAGGAUGUUGGCUUAGAAGCAGCCAUCAUUUAAAGAAAGCGUAAUAGCUCACUGGUCGAGUCGGCCUGCGCGGAAGAUGUAACGGGGCUAAACCAUGCACCGAAGCUGCGGCAGCGACGCUUAUGCGUUGUUGGGUAGGGGAGCGUUCUGUAAGCCUGCGAAGGUGGCCUGUGAGGGUUGCUGGAGGUAUCAGAAGUGCGAAUGCUGACAUAAGUAACGAUAAAGCGGGUGAAAAGCCCGCUCGCCGGAAGACCAAGGGUUCCUGUCCAACGUUAAUCGGGGCAGGGUGAGUCGACCCCUAAGGCGAGGCCGAAAGGCGUAGUCGAUGGGAAACGGGUUAAUAUUCCCGUACUUGGUGUUACUGCGAAGGGGGGACGGAGAAGGCUAUGUUGGCCGGGCGACGGUUGUCCCGGUUUAAGCGUGUAGGUGUGUGUUCCAGGUAAAUCCGGUUCACUUUAACACUGAGGCGUGAUGACGAGGCACCACGGUGCUGAAGCAACAAAUGCCCUGCUUCCAGGAAAAGCCUCUAAGCAUCAGGUAACAUCAAAUCGUACCCCAAACCGACACAGGUGGUCAGGUAGAGAAUACCAAGGCGCUUGAGAGAACUCGGGUGAAGGAACUAGGCAAAAUGGUGCCGUAACUUCGGGAGAAGGCACGCUGACACGUAGGUGAAGUGGUUUACCCAUGGAGCUGAAGUCAGUCGAAGAUACCAGCUGGCUGCAACUGUUUAUUAAAAACACAGCACUGUGCAAACACGAAAGUGGACGUAUACGGUGUGACGCCUGCCCGGUGCCGGAAGGUUAAUUGAUGGGGUCAGCGCAAGCGAAGCUCCUGAUCGAAGCCCCGGUAAACGGCGGCCGUAACUAUAACGGUCCUAAGGUAGCGAAAUUCCUUGUCGGGUAAGUUCCGACCUGCACGAAUGGCGUAAUGAUGGCCAGGCUGUCUCCACCCGAGACUCAGUGAAAUUGAACUCGCUGUGAAGAUGCAGUGUACCCGCGGCAAGACGGAAAGACCCCGUGAACCUUUACUAUAGCUUGACACUGAACAUUGAGCCUUGAUGUGUAGGAUAGGUGGGAGGCUUUGAAGCGUGGACGCCAGUCUGCGUGGAGCCGACCUUGAAAUACCACCCUUUAAUGUUUGAUGUUCUAACGUGGACCCGUGAUCCGGGUUGCGGACAGUGUCUGGUGGGUAGUUUGACUGGGGCGGUCUCCUCCUAAAGAGUAACGGAGGAGCACGAAGGUUGGCUAAUCCUGGUCGGACAUCAGGAGGUUAGUGCAAUGGCAUAAGCCAGCUUGACUGCGAGCGUGACGGCGCGAGCAGGUGCGAAAGCAGGUCAUAGUGAUCCGGUGGUUCUGAAUGGAAGGGCCAUCGCUCAACGGAUAAAAGGUACUCCGGGGAUAACAGGCUGAUACCGCCCAAGAGUUCAUAUCGACGGCGGUGUUUGGCACCUCGAUGUCGGCUCAUCACAUCCUGGGGCUGAAGUAGGUCCCAAGGGUAUGGCUGUUCGCCAUUUAAAGUGGUACGCGAGCUGGGUUUAGAACGUCGUGAGACAGUUCGGUCCCUAUCUGCCGUGGGCGCUGGAGAACUGAGGGGGGCUGCUCCUAGUACGAGAGGACCGGAGUGGACGCAUCACUGGUGUUCGGGUUGUCAUGCCAAUGGCACUGCCCGGUAGCUAAAUGCGGAAGAGAUAAGUGCUGAAAGCAUCUAAGCACGAAACUUGCCCCGAGAUGAGUUCUCCCUGAGACUUUGAGUCUCCUGAAGGAACGUUGAAGACGACGACGUUGAUAGGCCGGGUGUGUAAGCGCAGCGAUGCGUUGAGCUAACCGGUACUAAUGAACCGUGAGGCUUAACCUU